UACGUAGGGUGCAAGCGUUUGUCCGGAAUUAUUGGGCGUAAAGAGCGCGUAGGCGGUUUGUCGCGUCUGCUGUGAAAUCUGGAGGCUCAACCUCCAGCCUGCAGUGGGUACGGGCAGACUAGAGUGCGGUAGGGGAGAUUGGAACUCCUGGUGUAGCGGUGGAAUGCGCAGAUAUCAGGAGGAACACCGGUGGCGAAGGCGGAUCUCUGGGCCAUUACUGACGCUGAGGAGCGAAAGCGUGGGGGAGCGAACAGG
rnacentral:rRNA from 1 species